rnacentral:rRNA from 1 species
ACGGGUGAGUAACACGUGGGCAAUCUGCCCUGCACUCUGGGACAAGCCCCGGAAACGGGGUCUAAUACCGGAUAUGACCUGGUGAGGCAUCUCAUCGGGUGGAAAGCUCCGGCGGUGCAGGAUGAGCCCGCGGCCUAUCAGCUUGUUGGUGGGGUGAUGGCCUACCAAGGCGACGACGGGUAGCCGGCCUGAGAGGGCGACCGGCCACACUGGGACUGAGACACGGCCCAGACUCCUACGGGAGGCAGCAGUGGGGAAUAUUGCACAAUGGGCGAAAGCCUGAUGCAGCGACGCCGCGUGAGGGAUGACGGCCUUCGGGUUGUAAACCUCUUUCAGCAGGGAAGAAGCGAGAGUGACGGUACCUGCAGAAGAAGCGCCGGCUAACUACGUGCCAGCAGCCGCGGUAAUACGUAGGGCGCAAGCGUUGUCCGGAAUUAUUGGGCGUAAAGAGCUCGUAGGCGGCUUGUCACGUCGGAUGUGAAAGCCCGGGGCUUAACCCCGGGUCUGCAUUCGAUACGGGCAGGCUAGAGUUCGGUAGGGGAGAUCGGAAUUCCUGGUGUAGCGGUGAAAUGCGCAGA